rnacentral:rRNA from 1 species
GUGAGGAAUAUUGGUCAAUGGGCGCAAGCCUGAACCAGCCAUCCCGCGUGCAGGAAGACGGCGCUAUGCGUUGUAAACUGCUUUUCCAGGGAGAGAAACUUGCGCACGUGUUGCGCAAUUGACGGUACCCUGGGAAUAAGCAUCGGCUAACUCCGUGCCAGCAGCCGCGGUAAUACGGAGGAUGCGAGCGUUAUCCGGAUUCAUUGGGUUUAAAGGGUGCGUAGACGGACUAUUAAGUCAGUGGUGAAAUCCUGCAGCUUAACUGCAGAACUGCCAUUGAUACUGAUAGCCUUGAGUUUGGUUAAGGUAGGCGGAAUGUGUAAUGUAGCGGUGAAAUGCUUAGAUAUUACACAGAACACCAAUUGCGUAGGCAGCUUACUGAGCCGACACUGACGCUGAGGCACGAAAGCGUGGGGAUCGAACAGGAUUAGAAACCCGGGUAGUCC